rnacentral:snoRNA from 1 species
GGGCCCAAACAUUGUUUCAGGGAUCAUUUCUACAGUUUGUUACUAGAAAAGGUUUUCUGAUUGUGUAGAACACGGGAAACCCAGAGGAGGAGACACAACGUUCUCACCUGAGCAUGAAGCUUGGUCCUGGUGUUGCUUUAUUGGGACCACCAUUUGCCACUGAUGACUGCUCUUCCCUUCCUUUGGAGGAGUAAGAGGGUGAGGGCAUCAUCUGAGUGGU